rnacentral:lncRNA from 1 species
AGAAGAGGAAGCAAAAAUUGGAGUACAGUCUCAUAGAAGAAGGAACUGAAACAUUUGAUCUUGGAGGCAGCAGAUGGCUUUCUGUUUAUUGUCUCAUGUGAGACAGGCAGGGUGGUGUAUGUGUCUGACUCCGUGACUCCUGUUUUGAACCAGCCACAGUCUGAAUGGUUUGGCAGCACACUCUAUGAUCAGGUGCACCCAGAUGAUGUGGAUAAACUUCGUGAGCAGCUUUCCACUUCAGAAAAUGCCCUGACAGGGCGUAUCCUGGAUCUAAAGACUGGAACAGUGAAAAAGGAAGGUCAGCAGUCUUCCAUGAGAAUGUGUAUGGGCUCAAGGAGAUCGUUUAUUUGCCGAAUGAGGUGUGGCAGUAGCUCUGUGGACCCAGUUUCUGUGAAUAGGCUGAGCUUUGUGAGGAACAGAUGCAGGAAUGGACUUGGCUCUGUAAAGGAUGGGGAACCUCACUUCGUGGUGGUCCACUGCACAGGCUACAUCAAGGCCUGGCCCCCAGCAGGUGUUUCCCUCCCAGAUGAUGACCCAGAGGCUGGCCAGGGAAGCAAGUUUUGCCUAGUGGCCAUUGGCAGAU